rnacentral:rRNA from 3 species
UACGUAGGUGGCAAGCGUUGUCCGGAAUUAUUGGGCGUAAAGCGCGCGCAGGCGGGAUAUCAAGUCUGUCUUAAAAGUGCGAGGCUCAACCUCGUGAGGGGACAGAAACUGGUAUUCUUGAGUGUCGGAGAGGAAAGUGGAAUUCCAAGUGUAGCGGUGAAAUGCGUAGAGAUUUGGAAGAACACCAGUGGCGAAGGCGACUUUCUGGACGAUGUCUGACGCUGAGGCGCGAAAGCUAGGGGAGCGAACGGG